UACGGGGGGGGCAAGCGUUGUUCGGAAUUACUGGGCGUAAAGGGCUCGUAGGCGGCCAACUAAGUCAGACGUGAAAUCCCUCGGCUUAACCGGGGAACUGCGUCUGAUACUGGAUGGCUUGAAUCCGGGAGAGGGAUGCGGAAUUCCAGGUGUAGCGGUGAAAUGCGUAGAUAUCUGGAGGAACACCGGUGGCGAAGGCGGCAUCCUGGACCGGCAUUGACGCUGAGGCGCGAAAGCUAGGGGAGCAAACAGG
rnacentral:rRNA from 1 species